rnacentral:rRNA from 1 species
UACGGGAGGACGAGCAGUGGGGGAAUAUUGCACAAUGGGCGAAAGCCUGAUGCAGCUAUGCCGCGUGUAUGAAGAAGGCCUUAGGGUUGUAAAGUACUUUCAUCGGGGAGGAAAAACAAAACUAAUAAUUUUAUUUCUUGACGUUACCCGAAAAAGAAGCACCGGCUAACUCCGUGCCAGCAGCCGCGGUAAUACGGAGGGUGCUAGCGUUAAUCAGAAUUACUGGGCGUAAAGAGCACGUAGGUGGUUUUUUAAGUCAGAUGUGAAAUCCCUGGGCUUAACCUAGGAACUGCAUUUUGAAACUGAAAUACUAGAGUAUCGUAGAGGGAGGUAGAAUUCUAGGUGUAGCGGUGAAAUGCGUAGAUAUCUGGAGGAAUACCUGUGGCGAAAGCGGCCUCCUAAACGAAUACUGACACUGAGGGUGCGAAAGCGUGGGGAGCAAACAGGGAUUAGAUACC